UUACAUAAAAAAACAAAAAAAUCUCUUUACACCUCUCCCAACGGUCUGCCAGACACCUCACCCCACUAAGUUCCCACUCACAUUCCACUCUUCCACUCUCAUUCCUCAGCACAUGCUGAAUAAAACAAAAAAAGAAAAGGAUAAAAGAGAAGGCGUAUGCAUUAUCACAGGGGGCAUUAUCUCUGAAUCUCUCUCACGCUCUUUCCGGAUACACACAAAUUCACUGACGUAACCCUCUCUUCUCUCUCAUUUUCUCUCAAAGAAAAAGAAAAAAGGUGAAAGAAGAUUGUUCAUCUUCUUCGUCACCAAACCCUCAUUCUCCUUCAAAACCAAACACAAAUCCCUCACACACAAACCCUAUUCAUCGUCUCUCUCAAUCGCCGCCGCCUAACACCCAACGAAACCCUUCACUUUUUUUCUCCUCCUCACAAAUUACUCAUCCAAAAAAAAAACCUAGCCGCCAUCACCUUCAUUACACGCAUCCGCCGCCCUUCAUCUUUCUCUCCGCCACACCCUUUCUUCAUCACCGCCCCAACCACCAUCCUUUACCUUCUGUUUUCUUCACAAAACCCACCGGCAAACAACCUCCGCCGUUACAACCCUUAAACUCACCCUCUUCACCGUUAACCCUCCGACGAAUCCCAAAACCACAACCUCAAACGACCGCCGUUUCUUUUCCAACCCUUUCACAACCAUCGUCCUAUUCACCGCACAUCCGACCACUCACCGUGGCAGAAUCUUGUCGGUGAUAGCUCAACCUUCCAUCAUCAAUAUUGUUCACAACAUCACAACACGGGUCCGUCAUUGUCAUCUGGGACAACGACACGCAAACGACCGUCAAAACCAUGACCUCACGCAUUCGCCGUUGAUCUUCUUCCACCAAACCGAAAACAACUCAGUGGUGCCAUAGGAUAUCAAACAAGGACGAUGCCACUUGCUUCAAUUUCGUUUUGGACAAUUUCAAGUUAGAGGGUUUUUAUUGAUCGGUUCGCUGCUGGUUUUUGUUUGGUUGUUUAUGCAGGUAAGGGUUCUGUUAAGACUCGGAACGGAAAGAUCCAGAUUCGCUUCAUCAACGGUGCUGCAUUCGAAUGUGUUUCGGAAUAAGUGUUGGAUUUAUGUCGACAUUGCAGUAGUCCUGUAAACAAUUAAGUUGUUCUUAUUGUGGGCACCUUAUCAUGUUAGAAAUUCUGCUGCUAAAAAUUUUCAUUUUAUGAAUGGUUCACAUAAGGCUUCGGUUUAUUAAGUAUUUGUUGUGGCACUGCUACCGUUAUGUUUCUCGGACGGGUGGUUAUGAAUAUCAUGGUGAUUCUCUUUUCUUC